UACAGGGGGGGCAAGCGUUGUUCGGAUUCAUUGGGCGUAAAGGGUGCGUAGGCGGCGCGGUAAGUCGGGUGUGAAAUCUCGGGGCUUAACUCCGAAACUGCAUUCGAUACUGCCGUGCUUGAGGACUGGAGAGGAGACUGGAAUUUACGGUGUAGCGGUGAAAUGCGUAGAUAUCGUAAGGAAGACCAGUGGCGAAGGCGGGUCUCUGGACAGUUCCUGACGCUGAGGCGCGAAAGCUAGGGGAGCAAACGGG
rnacentral:rRNA from 1 species